UUGCAGACGGCCUAUUGCUGGGCUUCACCUUGUGAUCAUAAGGUAAUCAGAAAUGAGGUCAACAGGAUGAAUCCCACUGUUAUGUUGCUAGAGCCCUUCUGGUGUGGUGUUAAGAUGUGCCCCUGGCAUUUUAAAUUUGGUAAAACCCUGGAAACUGAAGAUAAAAAAGAGAAGACCAGCUCUGCAUGGUGGUGUCUAAUGGAAAAAUGAAGAAGCACCAGACAAGUGUCUGUAUGGGGGAUUGGGAGCCAAAAUCUGCCCAGCACCUCCUGUCCUAAUGCUGUGCUCUGCCUUUUGAUUUUUCUAAGGCUCAUGCUCAUGAACUCAAAUAAUAAAAUAAUUGUGAGUUGAGAGAA